CGGGUCAACGAAGGAAAAAUU
rnacentral:miRNA from 1 species